rnacentral:misc_RNA from 1 species
AACGCACAUUGCGCCCGCCAGUAUUCUGGCGGGCAUGCCUGUUCGAGCGUCAUUUCAACCAUCAAGCUUCAGGCUUGUGUUGGAGCCCUGCGGCUGCCCGCAGCCUCCUAAAACCAGUGGCGGGCUCGCUAUUACACCGAGUGCAGUAGUUUUCUCUUCGCUCUGGAUGUAUAGCGGGUUCCGGCCGUGAAACCCCUCAAAUUUUCAAGGUUGACCUCGGAUCAGGUAGGAAUACCCGCUGAACUUAA